rnacentral:rRNA from 1 species
UGAGCAAUCUGCCCUUCUCAUCGGAAUAAGCGUUGGAAACGACGUCUAAUGCCGAAUACGACCUCCUUUCGCAUGAUCGGAGGUGGAAAGCUCCGGCGGAGAAGGAUGAGCUCGCGGCCUAUCAGCUUGUUGGUGAGGUAAUAGCUCACCAAGGCGAUGACGGGUAGCCGGCUGAGAGGGUGACCGGCCACACUGGGACUGAGACACGGCCCAGACCUCUACGGGA